rnacentral:tRNA from 1 species
UGUUCUGUGGUUUAGUUGGUUAAAGCGCCGGACUAGCGAGACGAAGUCGUGGGUAAAAUCCCACCAGAACGG